UGUGUGUUAUAGAGAUAAUUUUAUUAAAUAAUAUCAAAUAUUAUGAAAUUUCAAGAAAAGGUAAAAAUAAAAUUUACUGACAAUAUUAAAAAACAACAAAAUACUUUAUUUAUACUUAGAUAAACUAUGUAUAUAUAAAUUAUUAAUUUAUGAUUUUAAAGGGAUUAUAUAUUUACAAGAAAUUUUCUAAAAAAGAAUUAUGAUCUCAUUACCUUAUUGAAUUAUAUCAUAUUUUGAAUCAGGUUUGGAACAGAUGAAAUUAUUAAUUUAUCAUGUUUUUUUAUUUAUGUAGCUUUUAAUGUAUAAGUUAUUUUAUGUAUGUGUGUGUUUAAAUGGUUUCUUUCAUCUACAAGAAUUUUGCUAUCAGCAGCAUCCCUAACCCUAGCAGCCGCCUGAGAGAGAAAAAAAAAAGAGAUUUCCGAUUGGCCCUCUCCGGCAUCCGGCGAGCCUCGUCGGUGCCGUGAGAGGGUAGUUACUGUCUUAUAGUAGGUUCUUCUGUUCGAUCUGAGGUGUUUCGGCGGUUAUGAGAUGGUGAGUGAUGGUUUGUUUCCGUCGAAGACCCAGUGAUGCGUUUGUUGGUUUGAACAGAUCCGGAUCUUCUUUCUGGUGCGCGGUGCAGUACUAAGUCGGCUCUGAUCUAGGGUGUUAAUUCUUCCAUCGGAUUUGUUGAAGCUUUGCUCAGGCAUGUCUCUUUGGAUCCUCGUUGUCGUCAAUCAACCUCGCUCCUGUUCCAUUUGCUUCAAUGGUUGAAGCGGUUCUAUGCGGCGCUUUAUUCCUCCUUUUGAAUGAGUCCGGUUUGGGUAAGGGAUUCUCUUCGAUCCCAUGGGUUUAGCUACUCUGCUUUGAUUUUUCUCAAGCUACAGGUUAGUUCAGUAUUGUGUGGUUCUUUUUUGAACUGUCUUGUUUCUAGCUUCUGGCUUCUUUAAAUCUCUUGGAUGAUGGCUUCUCUUCGAUCAACUACAAGGGUGGAAUUGGUUUGGCUUCAGCUCUGUAUGAUUUACCUAGUGAAGGUGUUGUGCUCCUGGGGGAGCGACGGUUUUGUCAUUAUUUCCGGAUCCUUAUGGAGCAACGGUUUGUGUCGAUUUGCUUCUACCGCAAUUUUUUCGAAGCAGAUACGGAUCUCCAGCUGGUUUCUUCUCAAGCUGCUACUGUGGAUAUUAGAAGAACCAAGCUGUUUGAAAAGUUCGUUUAUGCUUUAAUAGUUUGUCCCCUAAUCUUGGAUCUUUGAUGGCAAACAUGCUACAUAAAGCUUCCUUCUUUCAUGCCGGAGAAAGGAGCUAAGCUCAUCUGAUGAUUAGAGUUUAGAGCAUAUAUCUCUCGAUAAAAAUGGUGUUGCUACGAGCAUUGCUAUCAGCGUUACGCGGGUUCAUCGCUACCAAUCUUAUCUUGCGACUUGGGUCCCCACUAGCUACUAAUCCACUAUCCGAACAGAGGCUGUCAAUGGAGUCUCCAUGACUGGUUGACGAGCCUCUAGCAUGUUUCCUUUGUUUAUGCUUUGUUUGGGCACCUACUGGUGUUCUUUAUUUUCUGUUUUUUUCUUCUUUUAAUUUUGGUAACAUAUUCCUCCCAAUUCUCUGUUAAUGAGGUAUGUGUUGUUAGGGAGGCAGUUUGUUCUUUCUAAACUUCACAUUAUAAAAUACCAGUGUUAAAAAAAAAAGAAGAAUUUUGCUAUCA